AACACAUGUGGAUUGAGGCGAAUC
rnacentral:miRNA from 1 species